rnacentral:tRNA from 4 species
GGGGGAGUGGCGAAAUGGCAGACGCGCAUGCCUUAGGAGCAUGUGCCUUAACAGGCGUGUGGGUUCGACUCCCACCUUCCCCACCA